rnacentral:tRNA from 1 species
GGCAAUGUAGCUUAGUGGAAGAGUGCUUGCUUUGCAUACAUGAAGCCUUGGGUUCAAUUCCUCAGUACCA